rnacentral:lncRNA from 9 species
AGGGCGAGAAUGAAGGCACCCCCUGUCAUUAAGAGUGUUGGUCAGUUUUGUCCAUGUGAGCAAAUGAAAGCAAGAUUACUUUUUAAUUCCUUGAAGACUCUGUCACUGAAGUUUGGCACCCACAGUUCAUGAAGGGAGGACAUUUGAGUAAAUGAUUUGCUCCAGAAAAAAAGUGCUGUGCACACUAAAGUUGGGGGCAAUGAGAAAACCCCAGUAGUUUCACUCUAAUACCUUGAGUCCUAGCCAGUGGACUCCAGUGCCUCUCAAUGAGCUAAGGUGAUUGCAUACCCAAUAUAACACUCGAAAGAAAUUUUCUGGGCAAAAACUCACUAUUCAAACAGCUAGUAAUUUUAUAUUUUUGGCCACAACCUCAGAAUGCAGAAGUUUCCAGGCCAGAGACUGAAUCCUUACCACAGCAGCGACAUGAGCCGCUGCGGUGACAAUGCAGGAUUCUUAAUCCACCAUGCCACAAGGGAACUCCUCAAACAACUAGUAAUUAACAAAACCCUUGGGCAUUUAUCUGAUAAAUGUAUUAUUAUUAUUAUUAUUUGCUUUUUUUUAGGGCUGCACCCACAGCAUAUGGAGGUUCCCAGGCUAGGAGUCAAAUCGGAGCUGUAGCUGCUGCCUGGACACUUGCAUGGUGAGAGCCUAAAAAGAAAAAAAAAAUAAAAUCUAAUAAAGAGAGAAAAAUAUUAAUAUCAUCCAGAUUUUCAAAAGAUAGAUUUCUUUUAAAGGACUUAUAGCAGGUUUCUCAAUGGAGAUGACACAAGCUAAAAGUCAAAAGAAAUGACAUGUUCAUACUGCUGAAAGAAAAUAAUUUUAUACUGGACAAAAAUAUCCUUCAGGAAUGACAUUUUCAGGUAAAAAUAAAAUAACUUCUCACCAGCAGACUAGCACUUAGGGAAAUACCAAAUGGAGUUCUUCAUGCAGGAGAAAAAUGAUCAGAAAUACAGAAAGUAAUGAAGAGUGAAGGUGAUGCAAAUAUGUGGAUAAAUCUAAAUGACUUUACUAGGCAGCACUGAUUAUGUGUUGUAAGGAUAAAAACAAAAAAAAAAUGACAAUAACUGCAUAAAAUUCCACAGAAGGCAAAUAGAAGUAAAGUGUCUUGAGGUUUUAUAUUACGCACAAAGAGAAUAAAACUAACAGGUAAUACUGGGCUUUGUAAAAUCAAGCAAUCUUGAAAAAUCAAGUAAUCUUUAGUAAAACUACUGAUUAAAACCCAAAACUCUGACAACACCAAAUGCUGGCA